GACGAACGCUGGCGGCGUGCUUAACACAUGCAAGUCGAACGGUAAGGCCCUUUCGGGGGUACACGAGUGGCGAACGGGGGAGUAACACGUGGGUGAUCUGCCCUUCACUUUGGGAUAAGCCUGGGAAACUGGGUCUAAUACCGGAUAGGACUACGCGAUGCAUGUCGUGUGGUGGAAAGCUUUUGCGGUGUGGGAUGGGCCCGCGGCCUAUCAGCUUGUUGGUGGGGUGAUGGCCUACCAAGGCGACGACGGGUAGCCGGCCUGAGAGGGUGUCCGGCCACACUGGGACUGAGAUACGGCCCAGACUCCUACGGGAGGCAGCAGUGGGGAAUAUUGCACAAUGGGCGCAAGCCUGAUGCAGCGACGCCGCGUGGGGGAUGACGGCCUUCGGGUUGUAAACCCCUUUCAGCACAGACGAAGCGUAAGUGACGGUAUGUGCAGAAGAAGCACCGGCCAACUACGUG
rnacentral:rRNA from 1 species